rnacentral:lncRNA from 1 species
AGAUAUCCAAACUAUAUCAUGUGUCAUCGCUCAGAAACAGAUUGUUCUAUCAGCACAAUACAUUUGCUACUUGGAAAACCACAUCACCCUUCCUAAUGUCUGGGUUACGGGCUUGGCAAUAUUGCUGUGAAGCCACUGGUGCACUAUCUCCCUACAUGCAUGUCACUGCAAGCCCUAAGAAUUUUUCCUUUUUAUCCUUUAGGGUAUUUCUAUGGGCAGUCUGACCACUGGACCACUGCCAUGGCACAGUGCAAUACACAGUGUGAUCUGCGGGCCAGCCCUGGUCUCUCAAGUUUGUUACAGGUCUGCAACAAGACACAUCCCUGACUGCCUGUACGCUGCACAGAAGCCUCACUUCCUGUCCUUGGUCAGCUGCCACCAUCUUUACAGAGGAAAGAGCAUGUGCAAAGGCCCUGAGGUGGGAGUAUGGAGACCAAGGAAGGCAAGUGCCUGGGAUACAGUGAGAAAGGGGAAAGGAAGAGCUCAGGAGGAGGAGGGCAUCCGGUAAGGAUUCUGGCUUUCACUCUAGGUGAUAUGCAGGUCUAGCUAACUCCAAUUUUCACAGUCUGAUGAAUAAUUGUCCAACAAUUAAUAAUUGUCCAAUAAUGAUAAUAUGAUUGGCAUGCUCCUGGGUGCAUCUGAGUAGCUGGACAGCCAGAGGACUCGCCCCUGGGAGAUAAAGGUAUCACUGAUAUAUGGGAUAUCAUUUGCCAGAUGAGACAGUGAGAAAAUGCCUCUUCCAAGAUCCAGGCUCUCUGAAGAGCUAUCUUAUCUGUGAAAAUCCUCAGCACUACAAGGUGACCUCCAAGCAAGGAUUUUUAGAGAGAGG